GAAAAAUCAAAACAAUGUAAAAGCACUUUGAGAAGUCUUGCUUCCACCCCUGUCUACUGUCCACCAGCCCACUGCCCACCGGCAGCAUAUAAGAUCAUAUAUUAUCACCCCCACCUCUUACGUGUCCCUCGCUUUGUUCAUUUCAUAUCAUAGCAUACAGAUUUUUCCAUAGCAGUGAGGGCAAGCUUCAAGGAAGCAAGGGUUAGUGCCCCCUUCACAGGUGAAGGCACUGAGGCUAGAUUGCUGAGUCAGUGGCAUCUGAGCUAUCUCUACCUGGUUCCGGAGCUGGUGUUUGUCCCCUGCUCAGUUCCAGUAAGCCUGGUUCAGUGAACUUCAGAGCCCGACCUAAAGCUCUCCAGUGUAGGCCUGGUGGGAGAUGGGGCAGGGGUGGGCUGCCAGGGCCCUCACUGAGUCUUGGCCCCAAAGUCACAGAGGGGCUGAAGUGAUGAGCAAAAAUGUCCCAAGUCAUCCAGAUGGUGACCCAGCAAAGGACGUUGCCCCAGGGCGCAGGGCAGAACCACCACCGCGCAGAGCCCCGAGGGCGUCCGGGAGGAAGCGGCCCAGACUCCCCCCGAGCCCCACGCUUUGUGCGUCCUGGGUUCCUCCUAGUGGCCAAUUCGGGAACUGGCGCUCAGAAACAUUUUAACAACCACGCAAGCUUAUCAAAGCAGAGGCACAUGACAGGAUUAUACUUCCUGGCUUCUUUUGCCAUUAGAUGUGACCAUGUGACUUGUUUCUGCUAAUGAAACGUGAGCAGAAACAAUGCGUGGGGCACCUGGGCAGAAACGUCAAGAGCGAGUGCUGCAGUUGUGGACGCCAGUGGAGAUACAGAGUCACCAGGAUGAGAACCCAGCCGCCAGCCCCUGACAGACGUGUGCCAUAAUGAGCGAGAAGCCUCGGCUGUGGUCCCUGGGCCCUUGGUCUGCUCUUUUGUUCAGAAAGGAGGUUCCUAAGUUUCUCCAUCUUUUGGACCCCCAAAAGCUGGCUGAGCCUGUCAGAUGUUUGGAGGCAGCAUAGAGGCUGAGAGUACAAAUUCUAGAGCCUGACUUUCUGGGCUUAAAUUCUGUUUCUGUCAUGGACAAGCUGUGUGACCUUGGAAUGAAGUGCUGGUGAGGAUGUGGAGCCACCAAAACCCCUAGACAGCACUGACUGAAGUGGUAGUUGGUAAGACUGAGCAAUUUACCAAUAUCUCAACAAUGCGAAGAUGCUCGUUGCCUGGGAUCCAAAAAUUUCAUCCCUUCAUGUCACCCUAAAGAAGCCCUCAUCCGCAGGACUCUCGGUGCUCCCUCUGGCCUCACUCCCUUCCACCUCACCACGCUGAAGACCCAGCAACCAGGGAACACGACGGUUACCCCCGGGUCUACUUCAAAAGGGCCCGGGGCUGCCGGGAGAGCUGUGACCUGCAUAUCCACGCUUGUUGGAACCUGAGCAUUCCCACCCUGGCUUCCAGGGGAAGAAACUGAGUCCCAGAGAUGACAAGGGCCUGAUGUUCCUUUUCAAGUCAGAACCAGAGUCAAGACCAGCCCAGAGGCCAGGCCCUGUCUGGGAAGCUGCCCAUUGGGUAUGCCAGGGCCUCCCUCAGCUCCUCUGGGCUCUGCCCCGGGAAGGGCCAACUGCUCUCUCUCUGUUUCUCACCACCUCCUCCGCCCUUCCUCACACCUUGUUUGGAUAACUUUUUGACCUGUUCCUUCACAAGCUCCCUCUGAGGUGUGGCUGCCUCCGCAGCUUGUCCCAGGGAAUCCUGGGUCCUUGGCAGCUUGGCGGCCCAGGUUGGCCGGUCCCACGGCAGACAGUGGUCAAACAGUGGUUGUCUGGACAGAGGGAGGCCUGUUUACCCAGGGCAGGGCCCAGGCAGAGGCUGCAGCUUCCUCCCCACACCACUGGCCCUUCCAGCUACUCAGCAUACUGACUCAGCUGUCCCCAUCUGUACUUGCUCAUUCCACAAAUAUUGAUGGGGCGCCUACUGUGCACCAAGCACUGUUCUACAUGCUGAGGAUAUCGCUAGCAACAUGGCAGACAGCUCUAUCUCCAGAGCUGUAGAGGAUAAUAACAUUGAUAGUGAUGGGUGGAAAUGGGCAGUUUUAGAUUUGGGUGGUCAAAGAAGGCUGCUCUGAGUGGGGAAGCAUUCAAGCUAAGACCCAAACUAUGAGAAGAUACUGGUUAUAGGAAAAUCUGGGAAAGGACGUUCCUGGCAGAGGGAACAAGCAAGCACAAAGGCCCUGGGGCAGGAAAGUGCUUGGCAUGAUUGAAGGAUAGUAUAAAGGCCUAUGUGGCUGAAGUGGAGCAAGCGAAAGGGAGAAAGACAGAAGAGGCCAACAGAGGGCCAGACAAUAGUCAGAUCUCUGGGGACUUUCAGGUCAGGGAAAAGAGCUCACCUUGAAUUUUCAGUGCGACACAGAGCUAUGGGAAGGUGAGGGACUUUAAAUAUGAUUGUAUCUGAGCUUCUUCUGUAACUUUAACUGCUUUUUCUCUCUGUGGCUUUCUGUCCUGGGACUCUUGUUUUCAGGUACACUUGAUAGUGUUUGAAAUAGCAUUUAAUUAUUCCCUUUCCUUUUAAAUUAAAAAAAAAGUUUAGAUUUAAUCAAAGCUGUAUAGGUGCACAGUUGAAAAUAUCAGCUACUUCUACAGAGCUGAUACUGAGGAGCAGUAGUUUCCCUCCCAAUCUUUCCUGAACCUGAUUCCCAUCACCCAGAGGCAACCACUUGCAACUGUUUCGCUAGGUUUCCUCUCUGGUGCUUCCUCUGUAUUUCCUACAGAUCACAGAUUGCUACUUCUUAGUUUCCCAGUUUUAGAUACAAUGUGUUAACUUUGCUAAUAGGAAAGAUCCUAUAUAACUAUUUCCCAAUUUGGAGAUGAGUGAAUAUUCGUUGUUUUUAUUUGUAUAACUUCACAAUAACACUCUAAGGUAGAUGUUGGUUCUAAUAAUACUAACACUUUACAUCCAGUGAUAUUGCAGUUUGCAUAAGACCUUUGCACCCAUCCUCUUCAUCUGUAGAGGUAUCCUGAGAGGUAAGCAGAAGUGGCAUUAUUAACCCUGUUUUCAGAGGAUGACAUGGAGCCUGGAAUAAUAAAGAAAAUUUCACUUAUUGCAGUGGGGAGAAGUGGUUAAAAUAAAACCCAUCUUUCAGCCAAUAUGGAAGGAGUCAGGGUCUCUGUGAAGGAGAUAAUCUAUCUUACAUUUUGGGUUUGUUUAUUAUAUCAGCUAGUAUUGCUCUUACUAAUACAGUGUCCAGAUUUGAAUCCUGGCCCUGACUCUUAUAGUCUGUAUGGUUUGGGUAAGUUACUUAACUUCUUUGAGGCUUUGUUACUUCUAAGAAAUGGGUAUGAUGAUGGUACCUAUCUCAAUAGGCAGUUGUAAGGAUUAAGGGAAGUAAUUUUUAUAAAGUGUUUAGAACAGUGCCUGGCCCAUAGUAUGUACUAUAUAAGUGAUCAAAUAAACCAGAGCUAGAAAAUAAAUGAGCCAGGACCCAGAUCUGGGCCUUCUGCUGUCAAGUUCAGUAUCUGACCCCCAAACCCCAGGGAUUUGUACUUCCCUGUACAAUUUUCACCAUAUCUGCCUAUUGCCUGUACUUUUCUUACCUUUAAUUAUUUGCUUGAUAUUUUUUGUUCUUUUGAUGACAUGUUAUUUUUAAAGGAUAUUUUAUAUUAGUGUUUUAAUAUGCUACUUAUAAAUUUCUCCAACAUGGAGCAAAAUAAACUCAAUGAGAUUUAAAAGUUUUUAUCCAUGUACUACUUAAAAUCAGCCCCUGUACCCUGUGGGUACACCUAAGGAAACUGCUAUUUGGGGUCUAUAAAGAACCUUUGGGAACAUUCUGUCCAGUGGCUUUUAAACCCUUUUGACCAUGACCCUCAGUAAGAAACACAUUUUACAUCACAUACUUUAUAUACAGUGGCAGUGAAGGGUGGUAGUCAAAACGCAGAUAGCAGAGCCCAGCUGCCUGGGUUGGAAACUCAGCAUCACCUCUUAAUGCCUUGGUGACUUUUGCUGAGUGUCUUACCCUCUCUGUGCCUCCAUUUUCUCAUUUAUAAAAUGAGAAUGGCAAUAAUAGUAUCCACUUCACAGGGUAGUUGUGAAGUAAGGAGUUAAUAUGCAUAAAGCCCUAGUAAGUGCUUUAUAAAUUUUUGCUAUUAUCGCAACCCUCUACACACAUCCAUAAACAUAUAUAAAUGAAACGAACAUUUCUCACACACCCAAUUUACUCUUACAAGAUGUACUGGGAUGAUUUUUAUUCUAUCUUACUUCAUUUAAAAAAAUGUGAUCAUCUUUGUGGAAUUUCAAUGACCCAUUUGUGAUUUAGGCAAGAAAUGAAAACAGAAGAAGUAUUGAUUAUGUGAUGAGCAUCUGUGCUGAAAUUAUUUUGUCCAGCAUAAUGAAGCUAUGAGGGGUAGAGCAACAGAUUUGGGUCCCUACCACCUUGGAUGCUGCCGAUCUGCAAUUUCUAAUGAAGACUAUUGAACUGUACUUUAGGAAUAAUAUAUCUGUUUAAAACCAAAAUUAUGUGCUUCAAAGGCUUGAAAAAAAUAAUAUUCAGUAUAUUAAAGCAAGAGUCCACAAAUUACAACCUGUAGAAUAAAUCUGGCCCACUGCCUAUUUUUGUAAAUAAAGUUUUAUUGGGACACAGCCACGAUCAUUCAUUAUUUAUUGUCUAUGGCUACUUUUGUGCUACAAGAGCAGAGCCGACUAGUUGUCACACACCCCAUUUGACCUUCAAAGCUGAAAUAGUUUAGUAUCUAGCCUUCUACAACAGAAGUUUGUCAACCCCUACAUUAAAGUUACAGUUCAAAACCCUCAAGCUUAAGUUGAAUCUUAUUCUAUUCAUAUCUUAUUUUAUACUACUUACAAGUCUAACAAAUUAUAAUGGUUAUAGUUUCCCCAAAGUUUUAUUUUGAAAAAUUUCAAGCCUACUAAAGAUUGAAAGAAUAGUUCAGUAAACCUGAUAAUAUCCUUUACCUAGAUUCACCAUUUUGUAGCAUUCUGUUACAUAUGCUUUGUCCCUAUCUAUCUUCCUAUGUACUUUUUGAUUGAAAGAUUUAAUCUAAAAAAUUGCAUAUUCACAUUUGUUAUACAUAUUUGACUCUGUGUGUGUGUGACCCCAUGACAGAGGUGGUCAAGUAUGUACCAACAAAUUCAUGCUCAUCGCACAUAUCCCAGACUCCUUUGCAUUUGGCCAAGGCCAUGUGACUAGCUCUCACCAAUGGAAAGUGAGUAGAAAUGAUAAGUGUCACUCUGGGCCAGGAUUACUUCUGGGAUCUCUAGAUGACUAUGUGGCAGGUAAGUAAGUUUCUAGCUUACAUUUUGUAUUUGCUUGUUCCAAUAACUAAUGACGUCCUAACUAAUAGAACCAAAAAAUUGUGUGCCCAUUAAUGGGACAAGAUUGCAGUGGAAACACACUGGCCUGAUCCUCUAGUUGUCCAAACAUUUCUGAACCAUGGAGCCAUUUCAUUAAAUGUUUCAUUCAGAAUUCAAAAUGGAGCUUCUCUGGUGUGGAAUUGGGGAGGCUAAGAGCCUGGUCCUCUUGAACACCCGCAUUGGCCUCAAAAUGAAAGCAGAGGCAUCUUUCCUGAUUCCUAGGUCUCCAGUGAAUUAUGUGUGAUGACCGCUGAACAAGUAAGUCAUGUGCCUCCAUGUCUGAGAAGAGGAGGUGGGGAGCCAGCAGAAGGACUUGCUGCCCACAUCAGAGUCAUUUCUCAGGUCUGUGGCCGGGACAGGUCUGUUUCCACCAUUUCUAUGCCUACCAUUUACUCCACAUGGGCCCAGACUUACGAACCAGCCAUCAGAGAACACUGGACAGCUUGGAACAGAGCUUUGUCCUGACUCUCCAGCCACACCCUUGCAUCCUGGAACAGCCAGUUACAUAUUCCUCAUUCAUUUCAGUUUGUUCCACACAGCUAAAGAAUGCCUAGCACAUAUAAGCAUUCAAUCCCUUUCACAUGGUAGGUCUAUACUCAACAGUAUAGACUCAACAGUAUACUCAACAAUAACAAUAGUUCAAAUUGAGAUGUAAUAAUAGUAAUUACAAUAGUAAAUAUUUACAUAGCACUUCCUAUGUGCCAGACACUCAGCACUUUACAGAUAUUAACCUCACUUAAUUCUCACAACAUAUAAAGGAGAUGCUAUCAUCAUCAUCACAUUGGACAGAUGAAGAAACUGAAGCACAGAAAAUUUAAUAAUUUACCCCAAGCCACGAGGCUAGCAGGUGGCAAUUUGAGCCCAGGCAGUCUGACUCCAGUGUCUGAGCUGCUAACCACAAAGUUAUAUAGCCCCUUAGAUGCUAUUAUAAGGGGUAGGAAGUGUAGCUUUUUUAAAAAAUGAAGAUUAGGUGUCGGGCAGACUAGAUUUUAAUCACUUAGUUGUGUGUGAUGCAGGGAGACUUACAUAACAACUCUGAAUGUCAAAUUCCCUAUUUAUAAAAUGAGGAUAAUACUUUCCCUUUAUGGGUUAUUGCAAGGGUUAAAAGGGAGAAAACAAUUAAAGCAACCAGCAUCCUACCCAUUGCAUAGAAGAGGUUUAAAUGGAAACAAAUUUUCUUCUUUACAGUUUCAUCCUUAGGCUAGAGGCACGUGAGUCAGAAAAGAGAGCAGGCAUCAUUCUUGCACGUAAGCAUCUCAUAAUCUUUUUAGGAACAAGAGAAAUCAUCCACGAAGCAAUCAGAAAAGUUCCAAGAUACUUUCAAGAAAGAAUGGAAUUAAUCGCAGUCAAAUAUGCCUGCUUGAUGGUCUGUCAAAGAAGGAAGGUUCCUGGGACCAGCCAGGACACCAGUACCUGGUUCCUUGAGACCAUCUGUCCUCAGAUAAUGAGGAUAAUAACUGAUACUGACUACGUCCUUACAGUGCACGUACACCCUUGCUUUCCUUUGGUCCUCCCUGAAGGCCCUAAGAUACCCUAUCCUCACUUCAGAGAGAAGGCAGCCAACGCACAGAAGUGCCGAAUAAUUUGUCUAAAGUCGCAGAACAAGAACCGAGAUCUACAGGAUGCCAGAGGCCAAGCUCUGUGUGCGCAUGCGAUUUCAACUUAUAAAAUGCACCUACUUAAUAAAAUCCAAAAUGUGCAAAAACAGUAUAAACAAAAAAAUUAUGCAAAGCAAAAACAAAAACGUUUUCUUGGAUCUCCCUCCUUCUUCCUCAGAACUCUGUUAACCGGUCUCUUUUCCCUUCCACUAGUUUUCUAUGCAAAUACAAAUGUGUGUACAUAUGUAUGGGUAUAUCCGUUCUCUUAUCAGAAAUGUAAUAUGCUAUACACAGUCCUUCAGCUUUCUCUUUUCACUUAAUGUAACUUGGAAGUCCUUCCCUACCUGCACACAGGUCUGCAGUUUUUCUCUUCAACAGUGGGAUAGCAUUCCAUCCUAGAGAUGCAUCAUGCUUCAUUUACCCAUCCUCCACUGCGGGACAUUAGGGUUCUUCCAAUUUUGGAGUCACCCUGACCGGUAGCCCUGAGCCCUUCACCAUCGGUAACACGCUCUCCCUGAACCUCGUCUCCAAGUUUCACACAUAGCACAAGAGCAUUUCAUUUUCCAACGUUUCAUGCUCUGCCUUGCUUUACAUGGCUUCCCCUUGGUGAAUUAUUCAGAGCUGAUGGCCCUCCAUGGAGGGGCUGCCAACCCUCCCCUUGGGUCUCAUUCCCCCUAGACAGGAGCCGGCCCAGUGCUAGGCCCAGCAAGGCUGGCUACAGGCUUCAGCUUGUCCCCAGGGCAAAGUGGGGAUGAUGCUUCCAGCCCCACCCUCUGUGGAAUUUCCAAAGGCCCCUUGAGAUGCAUCUGCAGGCAAGCGGUCUUAGCAGGCAGCAUGAGCCAGGCCCCUGCUCUGGGAUUACUGCAGCCCCUCCCAUACCAAUCCGCCAUGCUCCUGUUUAGGGAGCUCAGUGAAAAGAGUCCCAUGUCUUCCCUGAGGUUCCCGUCAUCCUAGAGGAGCCUUUCCAGGGUCUCAGGGGCCCUUAGAAGCACACAGGGGGUUGUCCCAUGGCCUCCCAAACUUGACCAUGGUCCUGCCUGUCCAGUCCCCCGCCAGCUCCAGUCGCUGG